AGAGUUUGAUCCUGGCUCAGGAUGAACGCUGGCGGCAUGCCUAAUACAUGCAAGUCGAACGAGAGGAAGGAAAGCUUGCUUUUCUGAAUCUAGUGGCGAACGGGUGAGUAACACGUAGGUAACCUGCCCAUGUGCCCGGGAUAACUGCUGGAAACGGUAGCUAAAACCGGAUAGGUAUGAGGGAGGCAUCUUCCUCAUAUUAAAGCACCUUCGGGUGUGAACAUGGAUGGACCUGCGGCGCAUUAGCUGGUUGGUGAGGUAACGGCCCACCAAGGCGAUGAUGCGUAGCCGACCUGAGAGGGUGAACGGCCACAUUGGGACUGAGACACGGCCCAAACUCCUACGGGAGGCAGCAGUAGGGAAUUUUCGUCAAUGGGGGGAACCCUGAACGAGCAAUGCCGCGUGUGUGAAGAAGGUCUUCGGAUCGUAAAGCACUGUUGUAAGUGAAGAAUGCCAUAUAGAGGAAAUGCUAUGUGGGUGACGGUAGCUUACCAGAAAGCCACGGCUAACUACGUGCCAGCAGCCGCGGUAAUACGUAGGUGGCAAGCGUUAUCCGGAAUUAUUGGGCGUAAAGGGUGCGUAGGUGGCACGAUAAGUCUGAAGUAAAAGGCAACAGCUCAACUGUUGUAUGCUUUGGAAACUGUCGAGCUAGAGUGCAGAAGAGGGCGAUGGAAUUCCAUGUGUAGCGGUAAAAUGCGUAGAUAUAUGGAGGAACACCAGUGGCGAAGGCGGUCGCCUGGUCUGUAACUGACACUGAUGCACGAAAGCGUGGGGAGCAAAUAGGAUUAGAUACCCUAGUAGUCCACGCCGUAA
rnacentral:rRNA from 1 species